UGGCAAUGCCUUAGAGGGAAGGAAGAGUGGGGUUUGCUAGUUAACUUUAUUUCCUGAAGAUCUUUGGCUGAUAAUAGUGAUCCUGUAAUAGUGAUUUCUGUAGCAUUUGAACAUUUCCAAAGUACCCACUUCUGAACAGCUUUGGGAGAUAGGGACUACAAGUAUAAUUAUUUUACAGGGUUUUCCUACUCCAGAAUAAGAAGGCAGGCAAGGUCACAGAUUUUAUAUCAAUAUUCUACUCAGCCUCAAAUAGGAAUCACAUUAUACCUUGUGUCCAGCCUCCCUCUAUGCCCAUUAAUAAAUGAUAGCUUUCCCCUUCGAUCAACAUCAGGGAGUCGACAUUCAGGACUUCUGUUUCUUGUGAUUCAGGCAGCACAUCACUUGCCACAUGGAUGGAAGAGAAGUCUAAACCUAAAAAGAAGGGAAGGUUAAUGAGAACGAUCAGCCAGCUUUCAUCAGCGGGGAGGGGAGAAUGUGUAAUACAGAUGUGCAGAGCUGCCCUUCCCUCGCAAAAAAAUGUGAGU
rnacentral:lncRNA from 1 species